AUGAAAAGGAUCGUGUCCAUGACAAGUAGAAGAAUGAGAGAGACGGCGUAGAGGUUGAAGCUUAAGUGAGACCUGAUAUUGCCUGGGCUCCCGCUGAUGUUUCAAAGCCGAGCCAAACGGUUAGAGCUCUGAGAAAAAGAAGGGAGACUGAGGAAGGGAACAAAUAUUUAUAAAGUGCCCAUUCUAUGCCGGCAUUGGCCUAGAAGCUUUGCCUGUAUCCUACGUUCCUUCUCACAAAUCCAAACACAGACCUUUGCUUCCUCUUAUGCGCUGCCAGUAACAAAGAGAUUACAUUCCAUUUAUUCAUGGAAUUCAUCGAGGACAAUACCAUCAAUUCAAACUAUUUACAGGACUGUUUUCCUGGCUCUAUCCUGACGGACACCAUUCUUACUUACAAGCUACAGAAACCAACCUUGACAUGGUGGCAGGAAAGGAUUUGUAUCACGAAAGCUAUUGGAGAGAUCAAAGAAUCUCCGAGAGGACCCCAGAACCCCGCUCGGAGACUACAAGGGAAGGAGCGGUGCUCGAAAAUCUCCAAGCGACUCGGCGUGGGGGAAGCCCCCACAGUGGGCUGGGGUCGUGCCACGUGUGCCGCCAGCACUGGAUGCUGCAAGACAUUUCUUUACAUGGAUAAUUGGAUUACCCUCUCUGUGGGUCACCAGAGCCAAUGGCAUGGCUGGAGCAUGCAAUUCACAGGAAGGCACAGUUCCCCAAUGGUCAAGUGUUCAUGCAAAAAUAAAUUCAUACCUCAUAAUCAAAAAGUACCA